rnacentral:rRNA from 1 species
UACGGGGGGAGCAAGCGUUGUUCGGAUUUACUGGGCGUAAAGGGCGCGUAGGCGGCGUAACAAGUCACUUGUGAAAUCUCCGGGCUUAACUCGGAAAGGUCAACUGAUACUGUGCGGCUAGAGUGCAGAAGGGGCAACUGGAAUUCUCGGUGUAGCGGUGAAAUGCGUAGAGAUCGGGAAGAACACCAGUGGCGAAGGCGACUACCUGGCCUGUUCUUGACGCUGAGGCGCGAAAGCUAGGGGAGCAAACGGGG